rnacentral:rRNA from 1 species
CCUACGGGUCGCAGCAGUGGGGAAUAUUGGACAAUGGGCGAAAGCCUGAUCCAGCCAUGCCGCGUGUGUGAAGAAGGCCUUCGGGUUGUAAAGCACUUUCAGUGGGGAAGAAAGCCUUGGGGCUAAUACCCUCGAGGAAGGACAUCACCCACAGAAGAAGCACCGGCUAACUCCGUGCCAGCAGCCGCGGUAAUACGGAGGGUGCGAGCGUUAAUCGGAAUUACUGGGCGUAAAGCGCGCGUAGGCGGUCUGAUAAGCCGGUUGUGAAAGCCCCGGGCUCAACCUGGGAACGGCAUCCGGAACUGUCAGGCUAGAGUGCAGGAGAGGAAGGUAGAAUUCCCGGUGUAGCGGUGAAAUACGUAGAGAUCGGGAGGAAUACCAGUGGCGAAGGCGGCCUUCUGGACUGACACUGACGCUGAGGUGCGAAAGCGUGGGUAGCAAACAGGAUUAGAUACCCCUGUAGUC